GGUCAAUUCAAUCUAACUUUCCGUUCCAAAAGAUCAAAUUAAAACACCAUUUCAUAACAGUGAACAAAACAAUGGAUUUACUCCGAUUUUUCUUCAUUUUAAUAUUAAUGUUGUAUUUCGGAAAGGAAACAAUAUCGAAGCAAGUGGAUAAUCCGGAACAUCGUGCUUGGUCUAAUCGUCUUGAUAAGAAAUUCACCGGAAAAUCUUUUUAUGAUAAGGUUGUUCGACCGUUUAUACAUGGCAGCUAUCACACAGCUCGGUAUUUCGGCUAUGAAGCAAAAAAACUUUGGACCAGAUUAACUGAUUCACCAAAAGGUCGAAAACCAAAGAGCGACAGUUGAUAAAACAAUUAUUGGAUAUACGACAAAGAGGUUUUGAUUCUUUUAUCAUCAAUGUGUUCCGGUGCGCAUAUUUUUAGUUUCGCAUAAUACGAAUAUCACAGGCAUAUCUGCGUCUGUGUGACUUGCGUUCGGAUUGAAAUUAUCGCGUUAUAUGAUACAAAAAAAAAAUGUAUUCUAGACACAUUGUUUUAUAUUCGUAUUCGAUAGUUCAGAUCAUCUUUCCAAAAAAAUGUACAAUCGUUUUUAUCUUAACAACUUACUUAAAUAUAU